GUUCGAUUCGGCUCGGAUUGAACGCUGGCGGGAUGCUUUUACACGCCGAAGUCGAACGGCGGCACGGACUUCGGUCUGGUGGCAGUGGCAGACGGGUGAAUGUAUCGGAACGUGCCUGAAAUGGCAAGGGGACGCUACGCGGCGUAGCUAAUGCCGCCUUCGCCCUUCGGGGAAAAGCGGGGGGACCUUCAGGCCUCGCACUAUUAGAGCGGCCGAUAUCGGAUUAGCUAGUUGGUGGGGUAACGGCUCACCAAGGCGACGAUCCGUAGCUGGUUGAAGAGACGACCAACCACACUGGGACUGAGACCGGCCCAGACUCUACGGGAGGCAGCAGUGGGAGAUUUUGGCCAAUGGGAAACCUGAUCCAGCCAUCCCGCGUGUGCGAUGAAGGCCUUCGGGUUGUAAGCACUUUUUGGCAGGAAAAAGAAACAGCCUGGGAUAAUGCCCGGUGCAACUGACAGUACCUGCAGAAUAAGCACCGGCUGACUACGUACCCAGCGUAACCGCUGAUAUGCAAUAGUGCAAACGUUAAUCAGGUCACUGAGCGUAAAGCGUGCGCAGGCGGACCGGAAAGAAAAGAUGUGAAAUCCCGAAGCUUAACUUUGGAACUGCAUUUUUUUAACUACCGAGCUAGAGUGUGUCAGAGGUAGAUUCCGCGUGUAGCAGUGAAAUGCGUAGAUAUGCGGAGGAACACCGAUGGCGAAAGGCAGCCUCUGGGAUAACACUGACGCUCGCUACUGGCGAUAGCAGGAGCAAACGGGAUUGAUCGCGCCAGUAGAGUCGCGCCCUAAACGAUGUCAACUAGCUGUUCCAGGGCCUUCGGGCCUUGGUAGCGCAGCUAACGCGUGAAGUUGACCGCCUGGGAAAUGCGGUCGCCAAUUAAAACUCAAAGGAAUUGACGGGGACCCGCACAAGCGGUGGAUGAUGUGGAUUAAUUCGAUGCAACGCGAAAACCUUACCUGCCUUGACAUGUCUGAAUCCGAAGAGAUUUGGGAGUGCUCGCAAGAGGAGCCGGACACAGGUGCUGCAUGGCUGUCGUCAGCUCGUGUCGUGAGAUGUUGGGAUUAAGUCCUGGCGAGCGCGCAACCCACCACGGCCAUUAGUUGCUACGAGGCACUCUAAUGAGACUGCCGGUGACAAACCGGAGGAAGGUGGGGAUGACGUCAGAAUAUCGCCGGCCAUGGGUAAGAAGCCACACGUCAUACAAUGGUCAGGACGGGGGUCGCCAGCCGCGAGAGGCCAAUCCCGAAGCCCGAUCGUAGUCGGAUCGCAGUCUGCAACUCGACUGCGUAAGUCGGAGAAUCGCUAGUAAUCGCGGAUCAGCAUGUCAUCGCGGUGAAUACGUUCCCGGGUCUUGUACUACACCGCCCGUCACACCAUGAGAUGGGUUUACCAGAGUAGUUGGCCUAACCGUAAAGGAGGGCGAUUACCACGGUAGGAUUCCACAUGGCUGGGGUGAAGUCGGCGCAAGGUAA
rnacentral:rRNA from 1 species